CCGGGUGAUGCGAAUCGUAAUCUGAGC
rnacentral:piRNA from 1 species